rnacentral:rRNA from 1 species
CCUACGGGAGACAGCAGUGGGGAAUAUUGGGCAAUGGGCGCAAGCCUGACCCAGCAACGCCGCGUGAAGGAAGAAGGCUUUCGGGUUGUAAACUUCUUUUCUCAGGGACGAAGCAAGUGACGGUACCUGAGGAAUAAGCCACGGCUAACUACGUACCAGCAGCGGCGGUCAUACGUAGGUGGCAAGCGUUAUCCGGAUUUCCUGGGUGUAAAGGGCGUGUAGGCGGGAAAGCAAGUCAGAUGUGAAAACCAUGGGCUCAAACUGUGGCCUGCAGUUGAAACUGUUUUUCUUGAGUACUGGAGAGGCAGACGGAAUGCCUAGUGUAGCGGUGAAAUGCGUAGAUAUUAGGAGGAACACCAGUGGCGAAGGCGGUCUGCUGGACAGCAACUGACGCUGAGGCGCGAAAGCGUGGGGAGCAAACAGGAUUAGAUACCCUGGUAGUC